rnacentral:lncRNA from 14 species
GUGUGCGGUCCCACGGGGGUGCCGGGUGCCGGCAGGGGGUGCGGGGCUCUUCCCGCAGGGUGAUUCCAGGGGUGUUCCCGUGUACCGGGUGCAUUACACGCGGUGCCCGCUGGGCUGGGGACGCGGCCGCAUGAGCCGUGGGGCUCCCAUUGGGGUUGCUGUUGGGGUUGGCACCCCCUGUGCCAGGCAACACCGCUGCGAGGGUGCCACGGAGCUGCACGGGGAGCACAGUAACCUCUUCAUGGGCUCCAUGGGGCCAGCAAUGGUUGGGAAGGGGUCUGCACCCCCCAGGUCCUGCACCCGGGUGUGCAGUGGUGCCUGUGCUCAGCGCCCACUGCGAGCACUGAGGGGUGCUCACUGGUUCUGUUGCACCCUGUGCACCCCAAGAGGUGCCCGAUAUGCAACAGGGGGCCAGGGCAGCACCCAUGGGUCCUGCAGCCAUGGGUGCAGGCAGUGGGUGUGUGGGUGCAGGCAGGCUCUGGCACUGGGUGGGAGCUGGACCAUGGGGAUACCCCAUAGUGCUCACAUGCAGAAGCAGGGUACAGGAGGCAGUGGGAGCAAUGAGAUGGGUGCAUUUGUGUGGUGCCUGACAGGCUGGGUCCAGGGGUACUCAGUCACUCCAUGGGGUGAAUGGGAUGGUGUGGGGCUCACUGUGUGCUGCUGUUGGACACCAGCACCCUGGUCAGGAGGCCCUGGCAAUGUGGUCAGAGCUGGCUGCAGAGGGGCAGGGUUGCAGCCCCUGGGCCCGGGAGGGUGGCAUGGCCAGUGCCCAUGGGAUGGGGAGGAUGCCCCAUGGGCACUGCACCAGGUUCAGUGCCAGGUUUCACCACUGGCUGGAGGCUGCCCCAUGCUUGUCUCUUGUCCUGCUGGAGGCCUUUCCUGUGGCUGCUGGCGGCAGGAGCAGAGUUCUGUGUGCUGCUUCGUGCCAGCACCCAUGGGUGCUGGGGACACGUGGGGGUCCUGGUGCUGAGCAGUGGUGCUGGAGUAUCUGUGGGACCAGCAGGGCCGGAGCCUGCGGCUGCAGGUGUAUGAGUGCACUAGGGCUCCCUCUCUGCGCCUGUGCACAGCAGCCGGGGGGGGCCGGGGAUGUCUGACAGCCUCCAGGAGAGAGACGAACCGGGGGGGGGGUGUGAGCCCCAAGAGACGUGGGUCGGAAGGAAGAGUGUGGGCUGCAAGUGAGCAGCUGUGG